rnacentral:rRNA from 1 species
UGUGCCCUCGAGACGGGGAUAACCCCGGGAAACUGGGGAUAAUACCCGAUAGGUCUGAGACGAUGGAAGGCUCUCAGGCCGAAACCCUGCGGGGCUCGAGGAUGGGUCUGCGGCCUAUCAGGUAGUAGGGGGUUUCACGGACCCCCUAGCCGUAGACGGGUACGGGCUUUGGGAGAAGUCGCCCGGAGAUGGAUUCUGAGACACGAAUCCAGGUCCUACGGGACGCAGCAGGCGCGAAACCUCCACAAUGUGGGCAACCACGAUGGGGGAACUCCAAGUGUCUACACUUAUGUGUAGGCUGUUCUCGAGCCUAAAAAGCUCGAGAAGUAAGGGCCGGGUAAGACGGGUGCCAGCCGCCGCGGUAAUACCCGCGGCCCGAGUGGUGCUCAUUAUUAUUGAGCCUAAAGCGUCCGUAGCUGGCCGGGCAAAUCUCCGGGUAAAUCGGGCCGCCCAACGGUCCGAAUUCCGGAGACACUGCUCGGCUUGGGAUCGGGAGAGGGUGAAGGUACUCCCGGGGUAGGGGUAAAAUCCUGUAAUCC